GUUCUUCAUUUAAAUGUAUGGAAAUCAAUUAUGCCUAAGCGGUAUAUUUAUUAAACAUGUUCAAUUGAUUUUAUUAAAAACGCAUUGGAAAACAAUAGGUGCAUGUAUUAAACUGUAACUUUAGAAAGCUAUGGGUGUGACUAUUCGUUGUAAUGUCGUCAAUAUUGAUACAUUGAAUAGGUUUCAAUUUAUCCGAUGUUACCAUAGUGAAAUCCAGAAAUGCAGAACAACCACAAGUAGUAUAGGAGGGACCGGUGUGGUUGGACUAGUAUGACAUAUAUAAAGACACAAGAUGGAUUAUGCUGAAUAUGGGCAUUUAUUUAUGCCAAAACUGAGACAUCCUAAGUACAUCACAGUGAAAAAACCAAACUCAAGGCGGCAGGUGGGGAGGAGGAGGUUAGCUGUUGAUAGAAACAAGCCUCCUUCAACGAUAAAACAAAAUGGCCAAGCUGCAUAUUGAUUGGUUGAACCGUGCUAUUGACAUGACGCGUUAUCUAUGAUCGCUCCGCCCACUAGAAUUGAUCCACCAAUCAGCGAUCGAUUAAUCGGGCGCACUCGUUAGCAACGACCUGUCCGCCAUUUUCUAGACAAGCUACAUGUUUAGGUUCACUUUUAUUCAAACGAGUUUCUUUUGUUUUUCUCUUAAAAAAAACGAUUAAAAAUGGUUAAACGGUGUCAAUGGGGAUUAUGUAACUCGGACAAUCGAUAUCUUGAAAGAUUAGUUGGUGACAUUUAAUUUAUAUCGUUUCCAAAGCCGAUAAGAGAUCUUGAGAAGUGUAAGAGAUGUAUAAAUACAUGCGGUCGAACAACUGAACGUCAACACUGUCAAAGACAAUUAUAAUAUAUUUUUAUCGGAUAUACUAGCAGGUUUAAAUAGUUUAUGUUAUCGAUCUGAUUAUCACAUAUUUAAUUUUUCGGCGUAAGCUGCAUAAGCCAGCUUUUCACCCUGACUUGACCUUUGUAAGUGUCCAAUAAAAUUCAAAUAAAAUUUCCCGCGGCUAGGUACGAAUGAAUACACUUCAUUUAUUCCAUUGGCUGAUUUGAGUAUACCACCAGAACAUUGGAAA